rnacentral:rRNA from 1 species
UACGUAGGGGGGCAAGCGUUGUCCGGAAUUAUUGGGCGUAAAGAGCGUGUAGGCGGUCCGGUAAGUCGGCUGUGAAAGUCCAGGGCUCAACCCUGGGAUGCCGGUCGAUACUGCCGGACUAGAGUUCGGAAGAGGCGAGUGGAAUUCCCGGUGUAGCGGUGAAAUGCGCAGAUAUCGGGAGGAACACCUAUGGCGAAGGCAGCUCGCUGGGACGUUACUGACGCUGAGACGCGAAAAGCGUGGGGAGCAAACAGG